rnacentral:rRNA from 1 species
UACGUAGGGGGCAAGCGUUGUCCGGAAUCAUUGGGCGUAAAGCGCGCGUAGGCGGCUCGGUAAGUCCGUUGUGAAAGUCAAAGGCUCAACCUUUGAAUGCCGAUGGAUACUGUCGAGCUAGAGUCCGGAAGAGGCGAGUGGAAUUCCUGGUGUAGCGGUGGAAUGCGCAGAUAUCAGGAGGAACACCAAUAGCGAAGGCAGCUCGCUGGGACGGUACUGACGCUAAGGCGCGAAAGCGUGAGGAGCGAACAGG